rnacentral:rRNA from 1 species
AUGGGUUUGGUUCCUUCCUUGCUACAGGCGGUGUUGUGCGCGGCGGUGGCGCUGGCGCUGUGCGCGAGCGGCAUUGGCGCGUCGCCUGCGGCGAGGGGCGCGGGGUGCCGGAAGCACGUGCGGAGGGUCACGGAGUACGGGGCGGUGGGGGACGGCAAGACGCUCAAUGCGGUGGCGUUCGCCAGGGCGGUGGCGGACCUGGGGAGGCGCGCGGGCCACCGCGGCGGGGCGCUGGUGGUGCCGGCGGGGCGGUGGCUCACGGGCCCCUUCAACCUCACCAGCCACUUCACCCUCUUCCUCCACCGCGGCGCCGAGAUCCUCUUCUUCAGUUACCCGUGGGAUUAA